GACGAACGCUGGCGGCGUGCUUAACACAUGCAAGUCGAACGGAAAGGCCCUGCGUUUGUGGGGUGCUCGAGUGGCGAACGGGUGAGUAACACGUGAGUAACCUGCCCUUGACUGUGGGAUAACUUCAGGAAACUGGGGCUAAUACCGGAUAGGAGCUCCUGCUGCAUGGUGGGGGUUGGAAAGUUUCGGCUGUUGGGGAUGGACUCGCGGCUUAUCAGCUUGUUGGGGGGGUAGUGGCUUACCAAGGGUUUGACGGGUAGCCGGCCUGAGAGGGUGACCGGCCACCUUGGGACUGCGAUACGGACCAGAAUCCUACGGGAGGCAGCAGUGGGAAACAUUGCACAAUGGGCGGACGCCUGAUGCAGAAACGCCGCGUGCGGGAUGCCGGCCUUCGGGUUGUAAACCGCUUCCGCCUGUGACGAAGCGUGCGUGACGGUAAUGGGUCAAGAAGCACCGGCUAACUACGUG
rnacentral:rRNA from 1 species